GUGCCAGCCGCCGCGGUAAUACGUAGGGUGCGAGCGUUGUCCGGAAUUAUUGGGCGUAAAGAGCUUGUAGGUGGUUUGUCGCGUCUGCUGUGAAAAUCCGAGGCUCAACCUCGGACUUGCAGUGGGUACGGGCAGACUAGAGUGUGGUAGGGGAGACUGGAAUUCCUGGUGUAGCGGUGGAAUGCGCAGAUAUCAGGAGGAACACCGAUGGCGAAGGCAGGUCUCUGGGCCAUUACUGACACUGAGAAGCGAAAGCAUGGGGAGCGAACAGGAUUAGAUACCCUGGUAGUCCAUGCCGUAAACGUUGGGAACUAGGUGUGGGUCUCAUUCCACGAGAUCCGUGCCGCAGCUAACGCAUUAAGUUCCCCGCCUGGGGAGUACGGCCGCAAGGCUAAA
rnacentral:rRNA from 1 species